rnacentral:lncRNA from 1 species
GGACUGAGAAUAAAAAUUAUUUUGCAGAUGGGGCUACCAGAGGAUAUUUGUCAUGGGCUUAAGAUUAUUUCAUGAAGAUUCACACUGAAACACAGCUCUUCCUGGGUCAUGAGCCUGCUGGUCUUCAGAUUGGAACUACACUAUCAGCUUUCCUGUGUCUCCAGCUUGCUGACUGUGAAUCUUUGGACUUGGGACUUGUCAGCCUCCAUAAUUUAUUGAGCCAAUUUGGUAUAAUAAAUCUCUCUCUCCC